rnacentral:rRNA from 1 species
CCUACGGGGGGCAGCAGUGAGGAAUAUUGGUCAAUGGACGAGAGUCUGAACCAGCCAAGUAGCGUGAAGGAUGACUGCCCUAUGGGUUGUAAACUUCUUUUAUAUGGGAAUAAAACGUUCCACGUGUGGGAUUUUGUAUGUACCAUAUGAAUAUGGAUCGGCUAACUCCGUGCCAGCAGCCGCGGUAAUACGGAGGAUCCGAGCGUUAUCCGGAUUUAUUGGGUUUAAAGGGAGCGUAGGUGGAGUGUUAAGUCAGUUGUGAAAGUUUGCGGCUCAACCGUAAAAUUGCAGUUGAAACUGGCAGUCUUGAGUACAGUAGAGGUGGGCGGAAUUCGUGGUGUAGCGGUGAAAUGCUUAGAUAUCACGAAGAACUCCGAUGGCGAAGGCAGUUCACUGGACUGCAACUGACACUGAGGCUCGAAAGUGUGGGUAUCAAACAGGAUUAGAUACCCGUGUAGUC